rnacentral:rRNA from 1 species
AUUGAACGCUGGCGGCAGGCUUAACACAUGCAAGUCGAGCGGGGGAAGGUAGCUUGCUACCGGACCUAGCGGCGGACGGGUGAGUAAUGCUUAGGAAUCUGCCUAUUAGUGGGGGACAACAUCUCGAAAGGGAUGCUAAUACCGCAUACGUCCUGCGGGAGAAAGCAGGGGAUCUUCGGACCUUGCGCUAAUAGAUGAGCCUAAGUCGGAUUAGCUAGUUGGUGGGGUAAAGGCCUACCAAGGCGACGAUCUGUAGCGGGUCUGAGAGGAUGGUCCGCCACGCUGGGACUGGGACACGGCCCAGACUUCGACGGGAGGCAGCAGUGGGGAAUAUUGGACAAUGGGGGGAACCCUGAUCCAGCCAUGCCGCGUGUGUGAAGAAGGCCUUAUGGUUGUAAAGCACUUUAAGCGAGGAGGAGGCUACUCUAGUUAAUACCUAGGGAUAGUGGACGUUACUCGCAGAAUAAGCACCGGCUAACUCUGUGCCAGCAGCCGCCGUAA